UACGUAGGGGGCAAGCGUUGUCCGGAGUCAUUGGGCGUAAAGAGCGUGUAGGCGGCCAUGUAGGUCCGUUGUGAAAACUCGAGGCUCAACCUCGAGACGCCGAUGGAAACCAUGUGGCUAGAGUCCGGAAGAGGAGAGUGGAAUUCCUGGUGUAGCGGUGAAAUGCGCAGAUAUCAGGAAGAACACCCGUGGCUAAGGCGGCUCUCUAGUACGGUACUGACGCUGAGACGCGAAAGCGUGGGGAGCGAACAGG
rnacentral:rRNA from 1 species